rnacentral:rRNA from 1 species
AUGGGCGGUGCCGUGAAGGUGUACGGGGUGGCGGCGUCUCCGUUCGUCGCGACGGUGCUGCUGUGCCUGGAGGAGGUCGGCGCCGACUACGAGCUCCUCCCCCUCGACAUGGCUGCGCGGGAGCAGAGGACCGAGCCCUACCUCUCUCGGAACCCUUUCGGCAAGAUCCCGGCGUUGGAGGACGGGGAGCUGACUAUAUUCGAAUCGCGCGCGAUUUCUCGGUACGUGCUCCGCAAGUACGGAGGCACCGGCGCCACCGAUCUCCUACGGGCAUCCAGCCUCGAGGAAUCGGCCAUGGUGGACGUGUGGAUGGAGGUGGAGGCCCACCAGUACCAGCCGGCCAUAGCCAACAUCGUCCGGCAGUGCGUCAUCCUGCCGUUCAUCGGCGGCGCGCGAGACCAGGCCGUCGUCGACGAGUACGUCGGGAAGCUGGAGAAGGUCCUCGACGUGUACGAGGCGCGGCUGUCCAGCUCGCCGUACCUCGCCGGGGACUUCUUCAGCCUCGCCGACCUCGUCCACUUCGGCUUCGCCUACUGCCUCGUGGCCGGCACCGAGUACGCGACGCUGCUGGAAUCGCGCGCGAGCGUCAUGGCGUGGUGGGGGCGGAUCAUGACCAGGCCGGCGGUGAGGAAGGUGGCGCCGCUAAUCCACCUCGGACUGAAGCUAUCUUCGCCAGCAUAA